rnacentral:RNase_P_RNA from 1 species
GUGAACUGGAUGACCGCUGGCACACACAAUGCGUGCGAGAGGAAAGUCCGGGCUCCACAGGACAGGGUGGUCGGUAACGCCGACCGGUUGCGAAGUCAGGGAAAGUGCCACAGAAAAUAGACCGCCGAUGACCGCUAUUUGCGGAACAGGUAAGGGUGAAACGGUGCGGUAAGAGCGCACCAGCAGACAGGGUGACCUGUCUGGCUUGGCAAACCCCACCCGGAGCAAGGCCAAACAGGAAGCAGAUUUAGUCCGAAUCGCUAUCGACUUCCGGGUAGGCCGCUUGAGACGCCGAGCAAUCGGCGCCCUAGAUAAAUGGCCAUCGACCGUUUAAUCAACGGUAACAGAACCCGGCUUACAGGUUCACUU